UUGGAACAUUUUCCUCUAACUAAGAAAAAUGCGGCAUUCCAAACGAACUCACUGUCCUGAUUGGGAUAGCAGAGAAAGCUGGGGCCAUGAAAGCUACAGUGGAAGUCACAAACGGAAGAGGAGAUCUCAUAGCAGUACGCAGGAGAAUAGGCAUUGUAAACCACAUCAUCAGUUUAAAGACACUGAUUGUCACUAUUUAGAAGCAAGAUGCUUGAAUGAGAGAGAUUAUCGGGAUCGGAGAUACAUUGAUGAAUACAGAAAUGACUACUGUGAAGGAUAUGUUCCAAGACAUUACCAUAGAGACAUUGAAAGCACUUACCGGAUCCAUUGCAGUAAAUCCUCAGUCAGAAGCAGGAGAAGCAGCCCUAAAAGAAAACGUAACAGACACUGUGCGAGUCAUCAGUCACAUUCGAUGAAAUCGUGGACACUUUAGGUGAAGGGGCCUUUGGCAAAGUUGUAGAGUGCAUUGAUCAUGGCAUGGAUGGCUUACAUGUGGCAGUGAAAAUUGUAAAAAAUGUAGGCCGUUACCGGGAGGCAGCUCGCUCUGAAAUCCAAGUGCUGGAGCACUUGAACAGCACUGACCCCAAUAGUGUCUUCCGAUGUGUCCAGAUGCUAGAAUGGUUUG
rnacentral:lncRNA from 1 species